rnacentral:misc_RNA from 1 species
ACCAUGCAAGUGCCGAGGCACACACACACACACACACACACACACACGCACGCACAAGCACGAGCGUAAGAAUCGCAGGACGCACCACCCGCCGCACCUGUUUCUCGUCCGCCCCAUACACGCCAAGUGACUUGUCCAAAGGAGAGUUUGUCGCUCUCAUGCAAGCUCUGCCUCAAGUGCUCGAUGACCGACGGCAGCGGCUGCAGGUGCACGAGAACACUAUCGUGCAAGAUGCCACGCAGAAGAUGAACGUCACGGUACAGCAGCUCUACGCCUGCUCGGCUGAUAUUCGGCAAUGCAGUGACGUUAUUGAGGGAUCCGUGCUGGUGCUGGGCGUACACACUGCGCACACGCUCCUAACCCAGCUCAGCCGCUCACUCAAGUCCAUUGAAGCCGUGAUGGACGCCUGGCGCACCACGGCGACCGUGUAUCAGGAGCACUUCACACAGUGCCGCCAAUUCAUGGCGUCCAUGGACCAGGCUUACGCGGGCAUGAAGGAGAGACGCAAAACUGCGGAGACGGAGCUGCGGGCGCUGCGCGCGGAACGGGACCGAAAGGAGCAGGCCUACGACGCGGCGGUGCUGUAUGUGCAACGAGUCUUGGCUGAGCACACGCAGUGGCAGGAGGCACACAGCUACAACACGCAGCGCUGGCCCAUGACGGACGCCUGCGAGGAGGCUCUCGCGGUGCUGCACGCGGUGCGAGCGGGAUCGUCUGCCGGCAACUCAGACCGCCGCAGCCGAAAGGAUGGCGAUAUCGGACGCGAAGAGGUGCCGCUGUCUCUCAAGGACGACACCAGCGGCAGUGUGGGUGAGGUGUCCCGCUCGUGCUGCGCUAGUUUUGUGUCGCCGUCGCCGCUACCCGCGUUAUGCGAGUGGGCGCCAGUUGUCUCGUCAUCCACGGCCAACUCGAGCGAGGCGAGCGGGGAUGUGGCGCGGCGUUGGUGCACCGCGAUGGCUGGCCGACUCGGUGCCACUCAACCGUCUUUGCACUUUGCGUAUGUGCCUCCUGCGGAGGAGGUGCAGCUGCUGCGCGAGGUGCUGGCGAUGGGCACUGGGAGCUCUUCCCUCAUGAAGGACAUUCAAUCCGCACAAGCACGCCUCGACGAACGCCGCACGCAGGUGCGCAGAGUGUGCGCUCGCAGUCUCGAUUCCUUGCACGCGAUGCGGCAGGAGAUGAGGAUACUGAGGACGCACCUGCAGCACUUGCUCGACAGCCAGACCCCGUUCAUGUCUAUGGGCGAGGAACUACUAAGCCGCGUGCGCACGCACAUGGAGGUGGAGGUGGCGAGACGAGUCGCCGCUAUCACCGCCUCUACCGCCACGACCUUUACCACCGCGCCGUCUCCCGCCGGUGACUCUCAGAGCGGCAUCGGCUCCAUGCCGCGUUUGAGCAGCUACUCGGUGAGUUAUGUGGCUAUCCCGUCGUCAGGGCUCAGCGAGGUCGCCGAAAGCGGUGGCGACACGGCCUCUGAAGGCUGGACAUGGAUGGCGGAUGCGUGAUGACCUACAGAGCUAGACAGCGAUGCGCUCUUGUGCCCUCGUUCUCCUCUGUCUCCCCAUGUGCGCGUGCCUACGGUGGUGGCAGGAGCGCACCGGUGGCAAGAAUAUCGGCCCCCAUGCACACAGGUCGACACACACACGCACACACACACCAACACGUCGGAGUGCGUACUCGUAUGUAAAGAAUAAAUUCGGUUUUCCUUUUCUAUUGUGAAAUCUUUGGAGCCUGAGUGUGUGCUGGUGGUCGUGGCUGCCGGGAGGAGUGGGUGGGUGAGGUGGGGGGGGGGCGUGCGCCACCGCCGCCACGGCGGCUUCUCCCCUCUCCCCCCUCACUCCCCGCCCGUCGUGCGAUCUCAUGCCCGCUUUUCUUCCUCUUAUGUCUCUGUCUCGUUCUGCCUUUGCCUCUCCUCACUGGAACGUGUGCCGACCGACGCCUGCGCUCCGAUGCCCCCGACUCACUCACCGCCUCACACACCGCCGCUGCUGGUCUGACCGGUGCCAUCAUCUGCUCUAUGGCGCUCUGUUUUCCGCCUUCUUCUCCCCCUCAAAG